rnacentral:rRNA from 1 species
CAUCGCUCGGCUCCCAUGCUGAGUACCGCCUGCCCAAUGAUUUUAAAUGGCCGCAGUAUCCUGACUGUGCAAAGGUAGCAUAAUCACUUGUCUUCUAAUUAAAGGCUUGUAUGAAUGGCACCACGAGGUAGUACCUGUCCCACCCUCACUAUAAAACUUAAUCUGUGAGUCAAAAAGCUUACAUUAACCCGCAGGACGAGAAGACCCCGUAGAGCUUCAUAAUCCGCAUGUUAACUUAUAAGAUUGCCUUAAUUGACACAACAUACAUUAUUUGGUUGGGGCGACUUGAAAUUAAACAACAUUUUAAUUAUAAACCCAUAUUAAUGGCCCCAUGACCCGGUAUCCGAGUAUAAAAUUUAGCUACCUCGGGGAUAACAGCGUAAUCCAAUUUUAGAGUUCUUAUCAAAACUUGGGAUUGCGACCUCGAUGUUGGAUUAAGAUUCAGCUUAAGUGUAGCCGCCUAAUGCUGGGGUCUGUUCGACCGUUAAACUCUUACAUGAUCU